UACGGGGGGGGCAAGCGUUGUUCGGAAUUACUGGGCGUAAAGAGCGCGCAGGCGGUCGUUCAAGUCGCGUGUGAAAGCCCCCGGCUCAACUGGGGAGGGUCACGCGAUACUGAUCGACUCGAAGGCAGGAGAGGGUAGUGGAAUUCCCGGUGUAGUGGUGAAAUGCGUAGAUAUCGGGAGGAACACCAGUGGCGAAGGCGACUACCUGGCCUGUUUUUUGACGCUGAGGCGCGAAAGCUAGGGGAGCAAACGGG
rnacentral:rRNA from 1 species